UACGGAGGAUGCAAGCGUUAUCCGGAAUUAUUGGGCGUAAAGCGUCCGUAGAUGGUUUUGCCAGUCGGCUGUCAAAGCACAGGGCUUAACCCUGUAAAGGCAGUGGAAACUACAAGACUAGAGUGCAGUAGGGGCAGAGGGAAUUCCCAGUGUAGCGGUGAAAUGCGUAGAGAUUGGGAAGAACAUCCGUGGCGAAAGCGCUCUGCUGGACUGCAACUGACAUUGAGGCAUGAAAGCGUGGGGAGCAAAACGG
rnacentral:rRNA from 1 species